UAUGCUUUGAUCAAAAUAUAUAUAACAUAUACAUACAUAUAUACAGAUAUAGAUGUGUGUGUUUCUGUGUGUCUGUGCAUAUNNNNNNNNNNNNNNNNNNNNNNNNNNNNNNNNNNNNNNNNNNNNNNNNNNNNNNNNNNNNNNNNNNNNNNNNNNNNNNNNNNNNUACAGAAUGGAUUUUACUCACAUAGUUUCCCCAUUGUCCAACUCUUCUCAAAUUCUCUCUAUCUUCUUAUCUACUAAACUUCAUUUUCUUUCUUUUACAUAAAAUAAUCCCACAACUAUUCAAAAACAAAGGGCAAAACCAAGAAGAUAAAAAUACUAAAUAAAACAAAGACAAAACAUUCCCCACCAAGUCACAGGAGAAUUAUGAAUGUCUGUUUAGUGUUGAGAAAGUAUCCUGGCCAUGGGGCCUCCUUUGGAGUGUAGUUGGAAUAUACAGAGUAACUCCUUUGAAGAAAAUAGAUUUUCCUUCACUUAAAUGACAUAAAUUACAAGUGGUUUCUUGAUUAGGGAUAAGAUGUUGGGUCUGCUAUCCCUUCUCUCUGCUGGGAUUUUUGUCUGGCCUAAACCUGUGCAGAUCUUGAGCAGGAUGCAAUAGUAAAUGCAUGUGUAUAUCCAUCCCAAUUGUCUGGAAGUCAUUCACAACCUCUGACUCCUACAGUAUUUUCUUUCUUCUCCAAACAAAUCUGAGUCCUGAGCGGAGGGCCUUAGUGAAGACAUUCCACUUAGGAAAGGUAUCGUUACUAGUCACUUAUUGAUUUGUUCAUUUGGCAAAAGAAUAGUCAUAGGUUUUCCCAUGGGGUCUAUAACCUACCCAGUCUUAGGUUGUUGGAUUUUAGCAGUGUCUGGUAUAGAUGCUAUUAUGUGGGAUGAGCUUGAGAAGUGAAUAAAUAAAUAAAUAAAUAAAUAAAUACCACAAGAAACCCAUAUGGUUGGCUUCUUCCAUAACAUUUAGGCAACUCUUGCAAAAUAAAUGUUGCAUUCAGACAAAUGUAGGGUUGUAGGUUACAGGGUUCAUAGAUUGGUGAUGUUUACAAUUACUUCUGUUCUCCAGUACUGUGACCCAUACCUCCCUGUAGCAUAAACAGUCAAUAGAAGUGAAACUUCUCUUUGGCUACCAAGUUGAUCUCCAUAUUUGCUGACGUAAGUAAGUGGUGUUGUUAACUAUAGAGCCUUGCCAUCAGGAUGUGGAGGGUCACAGCAAGGAAGCCAUGACAUCAGGUAGAGGAAGGAUGAAAAUCAGAGCAGGAAGAUGGCUGAUUAUAUUUUCAUGCACAUAUAGUAGGAAGAAUGAAUGGGAAAUGAAGUCAUAUGGUAUCAAAACCUAACCCAAGUAAUGUACUUCCUUCAGGAAGGCUCAGCCUCCCCAUGAUUCCUUCUAAACUUUUAUAAAUAGCACCAUCGCCUGGGGGUAAAAUAUUUAAAUGAAUCAGCUUAAGGGUAUAGUUCUGAUUCAAACCACAUACCCCAUGCCCAAUACCCCCACCAUAGUAUGAAUCAGCAAAGAUUCAUUGUCUUGUAGUGAUGCUAUGGAGACAAAUAAAUGAUGUGUUAAUUCUGAAUGAUGAUAUAAGAAUUCCUAAAAUUAUACCAGCAAUCAUUGAGCCUUUUAUAUGCAGACUGCUAUUACAGUCCUCUUUGAUAUGAAAACUACAAUUAGAUCUGUACCACCAGUGAAUUGCUUGUGAGAUAGAAAGCAGGUACUUACAACUUAGGGGCCCAUUCCUAGAGUUUGUAAAACAAUUAGCCAAAGGUUAUAAAAGGGAACUAAGGAUUUAUUGAAGGUGCAAGCACAUAAGAUAAAAUAUUGACGUGUUUAUCUAUACAAAACUGCAAUGUUAACUUAGUCACAAGAAUUAUAGUUUUAAAUUCUCAAUGAACCUGUGGAGUUGGUGAUAGAUAAUGAAUUUCUAGCUGGAUAACUAGUCUUAAUGGUAACGUGUAUAAACAUCUCUGUUGUAAACUUCUUAUUCAAUUUAUGGUUUGAAUUUUUGUUUGAUCUUUUAGUGAACUUCUGUAAAAGAAAGGAUGCUUGGAAAAUCCAUUCCUAUCUAUUCUCCUAGGAAGAGUACAAGACAAACUAGAAAUGAUUCCAUUAUAAUAGAAGGAGAGGGCAGAAAGGAAAGGAGAAGGUUAGGAGGAGAUGGAGAAGGACAGCAGAAUAGAGUAAUUUAGAAAUUAAGAGCAAUUUAGAAAUUAAGAGCAUAUAAUCUGAUAGUUAUUUCCCUUAGAUAGUUAUUCCCCUUCUACUUUCCCUUAGAAAUAAAGAUUAGAAUCCCCCUUUUUAAAGUGGGAUUCCCCCCUUUUUCCUCAUCUUUCAUCAGUUUCCCCUAGCUGGCAAGGAGUUAAAGUCUCAUUCUUGGGGCCCAUCAUGGAAUUCCUGCUGAGAAAAGAACAAAAGGACCUCUUUACUUAAUCACCUGCUGUUAUUCAAAAGGUGUCAGUAGAUUCAGAGGUCUGUAGCUUCAGAGUAAUUUAAAGUCAGUCAAGAAAGGUAAAGGUUAUUAUAGAACAAC
ensembl:lincRNA